CCUACGGGGGGCUGCAGUAGGGAAUCUUCGGCAAUGGACGAAAGUCUGACCGAGCAACGCCGCGUGAGUGAAGAAGGUCUUCGGGUCGUAAAACUCUGUUGGUAGAGAAGAACGUUAGUGAGAGUGGAAAGCUCAUCAAGUGACGGUAACUACCCAGAAAGGGACGCCUAACUACGUGCCAGCAGCCGCGGUAAUCCGUAGGGCCCGAGCGUUGUCCGGAUUUAUUGGGCGUAAAGCGAGCGCAGGUGGUUUUGAAGGACUGGGUGAAAAGGCGGGGGCUAAAUCAAGGUAUGCAGUGGAAACUGGUGAACUUGAGUGCAGGAGAGGAGAGUGGAAUUCCAUGUGUAGCGGUGAAAUGCGUAGAUAUAUGGAGGAACACCGGUGGCGAAAGCGGCUCUCUGGGCUGUAACUGACACUGAGGCUCGAAAGCGUGGGGAGCAAACAGGAUUAGAUACCCCUGUAGUC
rnacentral:rRNA from 1 species